CGAAGCUUUAACGUCCAAAACGAAAAUCCAAAAUUUUGGACUCCAUUAAAGACGGUACACCGCCAACGAAGAAGACAACCCCGAUCUGCCUUCUCGGACCACUUUUCUUGAUCGUUUUGAGGUCCUGAGCAUUGUGGAGAGCUUCCCCAAUCGAAAGGACGCUUCAAGAGCAAUCGGAGACAAAGUUACACUUUACCGGCGACGAAACCGACGAGAACGCCGGCGACCGCGUUCUGACCGUUUCUGAGGUAAGGGUAAGGCUAAGCAGUGAGAAUGAAGAGCUCGAGGCGUGGACCGCAUGUUAGGGGGGCUGGCACAGUAUUUUGCUUUUAAUGUUUUUAACUGCUAAACAUUUUGGAACUAUUAUUUUGACUUAACUAGUUCUUAUUUAAGUUUACAGUACUAAAAGAAUUUUGUUUUAAACAAUGAGAUCUCAUGCUUGGAUAUUUUUCAAUAAAGAAGUAUUUGUUUGUCUUUA